rnacentral:lncRNA from 1 species
UCAAUUCCUUGUACUAAAAUUUCGUUCCACCUAGCACUAAUUAUGGGCCUUGUAAUAUAAUGGAAUUAAUUUGGGCCAAGCCCAUAUAAUUAGAGCACACAUGAGGUUCUAAAUAACAUUUGACUUUUUUGAUAUCGCAGGUGUGACUUGGAGAACAAAUUUUCCAUUAGAUUUCAGUUCUGGGGUUGAUUCACACAACAAUUUUGUUUAAAUAUAAUAACUUAUAAGACGUGUGCAGUACAUCCUUCAUUACAAAUUUUCCAUUAGAUUUCAGUUCUCGGAUUGACUCACACAACAAUUUUGUUUAAAUAUAAUAACGGAUGGUCUCAAGACAUGCACCUAGAGCACAUUGAAAAAAAAAUACAUCCUUCGUUACAUGGGGAAAAAAGGAGCAGGACAAGAAUGAACGCACAAUGUUCACAACGAAACUGGAGCUAACACUCGUAAAUCCAGCCAUGCAUAUGAAGGGAGAAGAACUUCAUAUUAUAUAUAGGAAAAAGUCUGACGCCCCUCAACUAUUGCCGCUAUCUGAAUUAUUCCCUGAACUAUAUAUGAUUCUAGACAUUUUUCCCUCCUCAACUUCUUUAACAGGACAAAUAAUCCUCCAGCAAUGUUUGAAUCUAAUUUUUUUGGUAUAUAAUGUUUGCUUAGCCCAGGAUCACUCUAACAUUCACGAACACAAGCGCCCGAGAGGGAGACGACAUGCACACAAGUGAUUUUGCCGGGGACGAACGCCGCGGAGCCAAACUGCUCUUGUAUCUUGGCACUCUAUUCACUGGACUUGCUGCUUAAACUGGAGGAGCACAGGGGCUACUUAUACACCAGGGACACACCAGGAG